GUCGCCGGAAAUGCCGCGAAUCUCGUCGCCGACUUUCGUGAUGGCGCGCGCGCUGUACGCGCCUCUUGCCCAGUUGUUCCCGCCUUGAGUACGUUUGAGGUAGCCCUGUUUGCCGUCCGUCGUCAUGCCCUGCGAAAGUCCGACCCACUCGAUGAGAUCCAAGUCGUUCGCACCCUCGUGGACAGUCUGUAUCCAGGAGACUCGAGAGAAAGACGCGCCUGCAGUGUUGAAGCGCGCGGUGGCGUAGAGCGGGAAGGCAGGCGCCUCAUCAGACGUCGCAAACGCCGCGCCAUCCUUGUAGUACGUGACGACGCCCGAGUCGAGCACGACCACUUGGAACGUCUCACCGACGAAGUAAUCGCCAAAGUCGCCGUCGCGCACGACGCCGUGUUCGGAGAUGCGGAUCACGCCGUUGUCGCACACAAUGCCGAAGUCGACCACCUCGUCGACGGAGUUCGUCGAGCCAGAGUUCAAGCCAAUCAUCAUGGACUUGUCCGUUUGGUCGCAAUCCGCGGAGACGCCACGCACUUCGUCGCCGAUCUUCGUGAUGGCACGUUUGCUCGUGGCGCCGACGUUCCAGCCACUGCCUGCCAUUGUGCGCGUCACUUGGCCCGCGGAAGACUCGACGCCUUCCGCGUCUUCAAACUCCAUGGCCGCCAAGUCGUUCGCGCCCUUGACAACCUUGUGAACCCAGCGCGCGUUGGCCAGCUCUGCGAGGUGGUUGUGAAACGACGUGUCCGCGUAGAGCGGGAAAGAAGGCGACGUCAAGCUCGUGUACUUGAGAUCGCCGUCGACGUAGAACUCAAUCGCGCCCGCGUCGUUCACGAUCACUUGGAAAGUCUCACCCGCGACGAAGACGCCGGCAUCGAACUUGUUCACGCCCUUCUCUUGGAAUCGGACCUGAUUGCCGUUGCAGAACACGGCGUAGUCGAUGGUCGUUUGGCUGUGGCCCGAGGGCGUGCUCGACAAGCCAAACUGCAAGUGCCUGUUGUCGGUGCGCAUGCAGUCGCCGGAAAUGCCGCGAAUCUCGUCGCCGACUUUCGUGAUGGCGCGCGCGCUGUACGCGCCUCUUGCCCAGUUGUUCCCGCCUUGAGUACGUUUGAGGUAGCCCUGUUUGCCGUCCGUCGUCAUGCCCUGCGAAAGUCCGACCCACUCGAUGAGAUCCAAGUCGUUCGCACCCUCGUGGACAGUCUGUAUCCAGGAG
rnacentral:lncRNA from 1 species